UACCAGCACCCCGAGUGGUCGGGACGAUUAUUGGGCCUAAAGCAUCCGUAGCCGGUCAUGCAAGUCCUCCGUUAAAUCCAGCUGCUUAACAGAUGGGCUGCGGAGGAUACUACAAGGCUAGGAGGCGGAAGAGGCAAGCGGUACUCAGUGGGUAGGGGUAAAAUCCUCUGAUCCAUUGAAGACCACCAGUGGCGAAGGCGGCUUGCCAAUACGCACUCGACGGUGAGGGAUGAAAGCUGGGGGAGCAAACCGG
rnacentral:rRNA from 1 species